CUGUUUUCGGCUGCUCUGAGAGCAGCAAUGAGUUCAGACCCCGAGGCCAAUCUCCACACUUCCUCCUUAGGUUUUCUCUUUUGGCUACAAAUUUCAAGCCCUGCCACAGGAGUUUAUGAACCUCUGCUCACUGCGAAAGAUUAGAUUCCCACGCUAAAACUCGGGGAAGGGGCAGAAGAUCACUGGAAAGGAUGGAUUUUUGGGAAAACCUGCAUCUGCUCCUGUAUUGAGACCAGCAGGCUGGGUCCAGGUGCCUUCACAAGGAAUGGCCACCAAUCCCUGUCUGACCCAUGAGCUUGUUUUGGCAGAAAUCUGUCCAAGCUUGAGCUGUGAGGAUGUGUCAGGCACCAAGUGUCCCAUGGCACAGGUAGCAAUGUCCCCAGGAAUCCUCUUGCAGCCAGGGAGAGCCUUUGGCAGGAAAAUGGCCCAAAAGCCUUCUGCAGGUGAUUUUCCUGGCAGCGUGUGGCUCUCCCUUUCUGGAACUUUCAGGCUCAGAGACAACAGGAAAAUCACCGCUGAGUUCACCCACUGACCAGUUUAAGGCGUUUCAAUGUGCUGAAACACUUGCCCAAAUUGUGGAACUUUGUUGUCUGUGAUCCAACUUCCCAGCAGCGCUGCCACCCACCCGCUCUGCACUGCAAACCUGCUCAUCUCUCCAGAGCCAGGCUGAGAAAGGGAUGAGAGUGGUGGCUGCUCUGCCACCGGCGGGUACAACUGAGCAUUCCUUAGAACAAGAAUGAGGGGGAGAGGAAAGGGUGCCCUGUGCAAAUACCAUCUGCAUUCAGAUUCAAAUAAAAUUAUAGCAAA